rnacentral:rRNA from 1 species
CCUACGGGAGGCAGCAGUAGGGCAUAUUGCUCAAUGGGGGAAACCCUGAAGCAGCAAAGCCGCGUGGAGGAUGAAGGUUUUCGGAUUGUAAACUCCUUUUGUUAGAGAAGAUAAUGACGGUAUCUAACGAAUAAGCACCGGCUAACUCCGUGCCAGCAGCCGCGGUCAUACGGAGGGUGCAAGCGUUACUCGGAAUCACUGGGCGUAAAGAGCGCGUAGGCGGGAUAGCAAGUCAGAUGUGAAAUCCUAUGGCUUAACCAUAGAACUGCAUUUGAAACUGUUAUUCUAGAGUAUGGGAGAGGUAGGUGGAAUGCUUGGUGUAGGGGUAAAAUCCGUAGAGAUCAAGAGGAAUACUCAUUGCGAAGGCGACCUGCUAGAACAUAACUGACGCUGAUGCGCGAAAGCGUGGGGAGCAAACAGGAUUAGAUACCCCAGUAGUC